rnacentral:lncRNA from 1 species
GUGAGCUUCAGUCUAGGUUGUUCUGCUUUUCAUAACUUGGUUAGCAGUUUGUUUUGAUUUUGUAUGUGUUUAGAAAGGGAAGUGGAAAAUGCAAUUCACCAUCCGGAAUUCGUUGCAAAAUUACAUUUUCAUCUAGGCCUAAUGAAGAACAAAAGGAUGCAUAAAGUUCCAAUAAAUGUUAUGGCAGUUUUAAUAUAAAUGUACUGAUAUUAUGCAAAAAGGCUAUGUACUCUCUAUUUAAAAUUAGAAAGAUAUUAUCAGUCUCACAGCCUGGAGGUGGUAAGGACGUGAACAUCGUACAUAGUGCUUAUUCAGAAACCAAGGAGCAUAGUGUUUUGGCUCUAGUUUGUGAUAAUGGUUAUCUCCUUUUCCGGUACAUAAGUUCAAAUUUCAGCAAACCUGUGGUACGCCAACUCUGCUGGUUUAAUAAUUCUGAAAAGCAAAUUAAAUCUCUAACAUUUGAUUCAGCAGGCUUGUGGCUGCUGCUAGUUACACAUGAUGCAACCAUAUAUAUUUUACCACUACUCCCACUUCUU